AGCUGGUCCAAAGGUAGUAAGUUAUCUCACUUGAUUUUUCAUAGUCAGUUACAGAUUGAACUUCUUCUACUCUUUCUCCCUUCUCACUACUGCUCUUGACAAGUAAAAA
rnacentral:Y_RNA from 1 species